rnacentral:lncRNA from 1 species
CAACAGAUAUUAGUUUACCUCCAGAUGUGAUGUCUUCAGUCUGCUGUCAGUAAUGCAGUAAUCUCCAAAUGAAGCCUUUGAAAUUGGCUCUCCUUCAGGAUCCUAGUUUAGAAGAGCCCUUGAUUUCUGUUUUAGAAACUUGAGAGACAAGGCCCUUAAAUGAAGCAGCUCUGCUGCUACUGACCCUUCUCCAGGAGCUCUAGCCCUUGGAUGCUGCUCCCUGAGACACACAACUUUACUACCUUUGAGAGGCAGGGAGGAAGGAUGGGAUGCAGAAGCACUAAUGAAUUGCAGGAUGGCACCAGAGGACACAGAUCAGCACGUACCAGCUUGGAUCGGCUUCUCUCCGACAGGAAACUGUGCAUGGGAGCUCUGGAGAAGGACAGACCAUGGAACCAAUAGAUGAGUGGGGUCAUAACCAGGCAUGCCACAAAUAGCAGCAGCUGUAGGAGCUUGCUGCUCCAGCUAGAUCAAAAGGAAUAGAGGAGGCUUGCAAUAAAUUGUGCAAUAAAGUGUAAUGGUGCA